UACGGAAGGUGCAAGCGUUGCUCGGAAUCACUGGGCGUAAAGGGUGCGUAGGCGGCUUGGUAGGUCUGGUGUGAAAGCCCCGGGCUCAGCCCGGGAAGGGCACUAGAAACUGCCAAGCUAGAGUGCCGGAGGGGAGAGUGGAAUUCCUGGUGUAGCGGUGAAAUGCGUAGAUAUCGGGAGGAACAUCAGUGGCGAAGGCGGCUGCCUGGCCCAAUACUGACACUCAGGUGCGACAGCGUGGGGAGCAAACAGG
rnacentral:rRNA from 1 species